UGAGAGUUUGUAACACCCAAAGUCGGUGGGGUAACCUUUUAGGAACCAGCCGCCUAAGGUGGGACAGAUGAUUAGGGUGAAGUCGUAACAAGGUAGCCGUAGGAGAACCUGCGGCUGGAUCACCUCCUUUCUAAGGAAUAUUACGGAAACCUACACACGCGUCGAAACUUUGUUUAGUUUUGAGAGAUUUAACUCUCAAAACUUGUUCUUUGAAAACUAGAUAAUAUCAAAUAUAUUUUUUCAUAAUGAAACCGAGAACACCGCGUUUUUUGAGUUUUUUAUUGAAGUUUAAUUAUCGCUAAACUCAUUAAUCGCAUUUACCGUUAGGUAAAUGAGGUUAAGUUAACAAGGGCGCAUGGUGAAUGCCUUGGCACUAGGAGCCGAUGAAGGACGGGACUAACACCGAUAUGCUUCGGGGAGCUGUACGUAAGCUAUGAUCCGGAGAUUUCCGAAUGGGGCAACCCAGCAGUUUUAAUCAACUGGUACCACUAGAUGAAUUCAUAGUCUAGUUGGAGGUAAACGCUGUGAACUGAAACAUCUCAUUAGCAGCAGGAAUAUAAAGAAAUUUCGAUUCCCUAAGUAGCGGCGAGCGAACGGGGAACAGCCCAAACCAAAGUGCUUGCACUUUGGGGUUGUAGGACUGAACAUUUGAGUUACCAAAGAACUUGAUAGUCGAAGGAUUUGGGAAAAUCCGCCAUAGAUGGUGAUAGCCCAGUAGAUUAAAUCAAAUUCUCUCAGUUCAGGAUCCUGAGUACGGCGGAACACGUGAAAUUCCGUCGGAAUCCGGGAGGACCAUCUCCCAAGGCUAAAUACUACCUAGUGACCGAUAGUGAACCAGUACCGUGAGAGAAAGGGGGAAAAA
rnacentral:misc_RNA from 1 species